rnacentral:rRNA from 1 species
UACGGGGGGGGCAAGCGUUGUUCGGAAUUACUGGGCGUAAAGCGCGUGUAGGCGGCCCGGAAAGUCGGAUGUGAAAGCCCUGGGCUUAACCUAGGAAGUGCAUUCGAAACUCCCGUGGCUUGAGUUCUGGAGAGGGAAGCGGAAUUCUCGGUGUAGAGGUGAAAUUCGUAGAUAUCGAGAGGAACACCGGUGGCGAAGGCGGCUUCCUGGACAGUGACUGACGCUGAGACGCGAAAGCGUGGGGAGCAAACAGG